AAAAUGUUUCUUUUACAGGAGUUGAACAAGAUCGAUGCUUAUACAGAGACAAGAGUUGAUCCUCAGGAAAUCGUUGAUCUUUUCAAGACACGUUUUCUGCCUCAACAGUGAACUUUGGAUUGCUGCAGACUUCCUCUAAGAUGUAGACUGCCAAUAAAGCGUCCUUUGCAUUCAUGGAUGCAUCUUCAGUCAAAUAUGGUUGUGUUUAUCUGCUAGUGUUGCAGGAUAGUUUGACGUCAUAAUUAUAAUUUCAGAUUCUGUCUUUGGGAAGGUUUGGUUUUCAAAUGUAAUUUUUAAAAUAAAAUGUGUAUGAAAAUAAUGGAAUUGUGAUGGUUUUUAAUUUAAUUUUAAAACACUUUUAUAUUCA